rnacentral:rRNA from 1 species
UACGAAGGGGGCUAGCGUUGCUCGGAAUCACUGGGCGUAAAGCGCACGUAGGCGGAUCUUUAAGUCAGGGGGUGAAAUCCCGGAGCUCAACUCCGGAACUGCCUUUGAUACUGAGGGUCUCGAGUUCGGGAGAGGUGAGUGGAACUGCGAGUGUAGAGGUGAAAUUCGUAGAUAUUCGCAAGAACACCAGUGGCGAAGGCGGCUCACUGGCCCGAUACUGACGCUGAGGUGCGAAAGCGUGGGAGCAAACAGG